GAACGCUUGGUGGGGGGGGGCGUGUAUGCCGAGGUCUAGCCAAAUCUUGCAGAGAGAUGCGUGAGCCGCAGCGCGCUGGAGGCUGGCGGGAGCACUAGAGGAUGCUGCUGGGCUCAGGAAAGACAGCGGGGGCUGGGAGGACCGGUCUGGGGGUUCGCCUCCACUCUGCUCCGCGCUACGGUUCACUUCCAGACGCCCCGCGAGGCUAAAGUCCUCCAAGUUGGGGUCAGCGCCAUCAUUGACGCCCAGGACUAGGGACACAUGGCAAGACCCCAAUGGAUGACUGAAACCAGGGAUCACACUCAACCCCAUGCAUAUGUUGCAUGGAAACAAUUUAAGUCUGCUACAUUUACACACAUGGAUGGGAAAAAACAAAGCGGAAUGCCUAGCCAUCUAUCACCACACAGUCAUUAAGGUUGAAGGUAGACAGAGAAGAACUGAGUGAGUGCUGCAAUGCAAAUAACGUCAUUGAGGAGGAAGUCAUGAGUAAGUCUGGCUUAAUCAAGACACUUAUGAGAAAGGAGUCAAAAUGGGAAGUCAAGAAGUCAAGUUAUUUUGGAAAGCAGAUGUCAGAAUUCAACCAUUUUGGCUAAAACAGAUAAUAAUCCUGAAGCUCAAUAUUUAGAAAUCACCAUUCAUCAUCAGAAAAGCCAGUUUUAUUUGUGUUGGAGAAACACAGCUUCCUGUGAGAAGUCAUUUCAUGGCUACUGGAAACUUUACACUGUAGCAUCUGCAAAAGAAAGAUCAUGAGACAAACAGAAGAAGGAAAUGGAGAGAGGGUGGUAUGAAGGGUAGGAAGGAGAAAAUAAGGUAGGGAGAAAGGAAAAGAGAAAGGGAUAAAGGAGAGAACGAAGAAAAGAAGGAAGGGCAAAGGAAAGAUAUGCUUGCAGGCUGGUCCCUGGGAUUUGUUUAUAAAACUUAACUCACAUUUUAGAUAAUUUCAUGGUUUUAAGAAGAUGAAGAAAAGACAAAUAGAUUUUUAAUGAGUAAUGAAUUCCCAUCAUUGUUUAGAAUUAAAAAUUAUGAAUAGCAGGUUCGUCUUAAGGGAUGUUUUUAGCAGAAAGUAUUAGAAAUCAUGGUCCUUCUGAUACUUGGAAUUUGAGUUCAGCAUAUAUUGGCAAUAUUGAGAUGGUUGUAUUGACAUUCUCAGGGGGUAGUAAUGUGAACAGACAUCUACUCAACCCAGACGGGGCCCCAACAACAGACCAAAGAAAGGACUACACUAAGUUCAGCUUAGUUAACCAGGGAAUUCGUUGGAUUUACUUACUGACGUGACCUCUUUGGCAAUUCAAAGCAGUUUCAUCUUUCAAAAGCCUGACCCAGCAGAGGUGAUGAGUCACGUAGGCAGCACCUCUGGAGCGAGCUGCCUGUCGGAAGGGUCCACCCUGGGAUGACUCAAGAAAGCCACCCCGAGCGAGCUGCCUGUCUGAAGGAUCCACCCUGGGGUGACUCAAGAAAGCCACCCCGAGCGAGCUGCCUGUCUGAAGGAUCCACCCUGGGGUGACUCAAGAAAGCCACCCCAGA